UCGAGCGGGCGUAGCAAUACGUCAGCGGCAGACGGGUGAGUAACGCGUGGGAACGUACCUUUUGGUUCGGAACAACACAGGGAAACUUGUGCUAAUACCGGAUAAGCCCCUACGGGGAAAGAUUUAUCGCCGAAAGAUCGGCCCGCGUCUGAUUAGCUAGUUGGUGAGGUAACGGCUCACCAAGGCGACGAUCAGUAGCUGUCUGAGAGGAUGAUCAGCCACAUUGGGACUGAGACACGGCCCAAACUCCUACGGGAGGCAGCAGUGGGGAAUACUGGACAAUGGGCGCAAGCCUGAUCCGGCCAUGCCGCGUGAGUGAUGAAGGCCCUAGGGUUGUAAAGCUCUUUUGUGCGGGAAGAUAAUGACGGUACCGCAAGAAUAAGCCCCGGCUAACUUCGUGCCAGCAGCCGCGGUUAUACGAAGGGGGCUAGCGUUGCUCGGAAUCACUGGGCGUAAAGGGUGCGUAGGCGGGUCUUUAAGUCAGGGGUGAAAUCCUGGAGCUCAACUCCAGAACUGCCUUUGAUACUGAGGAUCUUGAGUUCGGGAGAGGUGAGUGGAACUGCGAGUGUAGAGGUGAAAUUCGUAGAUAUUCGCAAGAACACCAGUGGCGAAGGCGGCUCACUGGCCCGAUACUGACGCUGAGGCACGAAAGCGUGGGGAGCAAACAGGAUUAGAUACCCUGGUAGUCCACGCCGUAAACGAUGAAUGCCAGCCGUUAGUGGGUUACUCACUAGUGGCGCAGCUAACGCUUUAAGCAUUCCGCCUGGGGAGUACGGUCGCAAGAUUAAAACUCAAAGGAAUUGACGGGGGCCUGCACAAGCGGUGGAGCAUGUGGUUUAAUUCGACGCAACGCGCAGAACCUUACCAGCCCUUGACAUCCCGGUCGCGGAUUCCAGAGACGGAGUCCUUCAGUUCGGCUGGACCGGAGACAGGUGCUGCAUGGCUGUCGUCAGCUCGUGUCGUGUGAUGUUGGGUUAAGUCCCGCAACGAGCGCAACCCCCGUCCUUAGUUGCUACCAUUUAGUUGAGCACUCUAAGGAGGCUGCCGGUGAUAAGCCGCGAGGAAGGUGGGGAU
rnacentral:rRNA from 1 species